rnacentral:lncRNA from 1 species
CUCAGCUUCUAGAUGAAAUAUGUAUUAGCAAACUAUUCUAGGCCUUUAUAUUCCUUUAUUUUUGUUUUCAAAAAUUCCCAUGACAAUAUUCUGGCAUCCAUGCCACAUGAGGAUACAUUUCGUGCCAAAACAAGCUUAGGAAAUCUGCAGUUUAAAGGAGGAAGGUAUGCUGCAGCUGAGAGCAGACGCUUCUAAGGCAUCUUGGGAAGCACUGGGAAGUCAGGAAGUGUCCUGAGUGUAUUACGAGAAACUGUGCACUUUGGAGCAG